UACGGAGGGGGCUAGCGUUGUUCGGAAUUACUGGGCGUAAAGCGCACGUAGGCGGCUUUGUAAGUUAGAGGUGAAAGCCCAGGGCUUAACCCUGGAAUUGCCCUUAAGACUGCAUCGCUAGAAUCGUGGAGAGGUGAGUGGAAUUCCGAGUGUAGAGGUGAAAUUCGUAGAUAUUCGGAAGAACACCAGUGGCGAAGGCGGCUCACUGGACUGGUAUUGACGCUGAGGUGCGAAAGCGUGGGGAGCAAACAGG
rnacentral:rRNA from 1 species